CGUUGCAACGGCCUAUCGAGGCGGUUAGAGGGCGGAAUCCACCUGGGGGAGGAGAACAAAAACAGGCGGAUGAAGAGGUUCCAGGCAAAGAAGCCGUUUAAGAAAAUUCCCAAGAGAGAGAGAGAGAACUAGAGAGAGAGAGAGAGAACUAGAGAGAGAAAGAGAGAAAUUGAGAGAGAGAAAGAGUAGAAGUCCCCCUGGACGAGUGACCGGCGCCAUCCCGACGGGAAAGGCGUCGGCGAAUCAUCCUUUUAGGUGACCUCCUCCUCUGAUCAUCCAGUGAAGAGGCUGAUCGGGAAGGCCUGAAACCCAGCUCCGAUUGGCAAAUCAAAACCUUUCCUGGCAAAGCCUAGCCUGUAGGCCGAUAGAGAAGGUGCGAGAGGACCAAGCUGAAGCUUCCCAGUGACACGGAAUUUCAGUUUUGGUCGCCGGCGACGAAGGAAGAAGGACAAGAGGACGUCAAAGUAUCGAGAUGAGGCAAAUUGAAAAUGAGGAAGAUAAGCUCAUAACAUUCUCCAAACGUAGAUCUGGUAUCUACAAAAAAGCAAGUGAGCUUGUCACCCUCACUGGCUCGGAGGUGGGAGUAGUAAUAUUCUCUCCUACCAGAAAACCAUAUUCCUUCGCUCAUCCAUCGAUCAAUUCGAUUGCCAGCCGAUUCCUCAACCAAAACCCUUCCGAAAACGAUGCUGCUGACACUUUGGUUGAGUCCUAUCGUAGACUGAGGAUUAAUGAGCUCAAUCAACAAAACGAUAAGCUCAUUAAUCAAGUUGAAGCUGACAAGGCACGAGGUAAACUGCUGAAGGGAAUGACCAAAGGACGAAAAGGCGAGGGAUGGUGGGAAGCUCCCGUUGAAGAGUUGAACUUAGAAGAGCUCAUGCAAAUGAAGGCACGAAUGGAGGAGCUUAAGCGGAAUUUGGGGAGUUCGAUUGAUCAAAGGAGUCAAGCAACUUCAUCAAUUCAAGGAGAAAGUUCAAAUGAAAGGAACAAUCCCUUGGCGAAUGAUACUACCCCAAGCAUCACGCCCAGAUAUGACGACAAGGGUGGACAAGUUUAAGCGAAUAUUGCAAUUUUUUUCUUGUGUGCUUGUUUAGUCUUUUGAUUUGCAUUCUACAUAUGAUAAGAGAAUAUGGCUAACAUUAAUACAUAUUUCACAUGUACCUUUAGGGAAUUUUCAUACGCUGACUUGUCCAUAAGAGACUUAUAGCAUGUCUCAAGUUUCACA